GAAUCCCGUCUUUGACAUGGACUGCCAGGGCUUUGUGAUGUGCUCUCAAAGAGUCGAGUUGUUUGGGAAUGCAGCUCAAAAUGGGUGGUAAAUUCCAUCUAAAGCUAAAUAUUGGCGAGAGACCGAUAGCGAACAAGUACCGUGAGGGAAAGAUGAAAAGCACUUUGGAAAGAGAGUGAAACAGUACGUGAAAUUGUUGAAAGGGAAACGCUUGAAGUCAGUCGCGUCGGCCGAGACUCAGCCUUGCCUCGGCUUGGUGUACUUCUUGACCGACGGGUCAGCAUCAAUUUUGCCCCUUGGAUAAUGGCGAGGGAAAUGUGACACCUUUAUAGGUGUGUUAUAGUCUCUCGUCGCAUGCAAGGGUCGGGAUUGAGGAACUCAGCACGCGCCUUCGGGCGUCGGGGCCUUGCCCACGAUACGUGCUUAGGAUGUUGGCGUAAUGGCUUUAAACGACCCGUCUUGAAACACGGACCAAGGAGUCUAACAUGCCCGCGAGUGUUCGGGUGGAAAACCCGUGCGCGCAAUGAAAGUGAAAGUUGGGACCUCUGUCGCGGAGGGCACCGACGCCCGGACCAGAGCUUCUGCGACGGAUCUGCGGUGGAGCGUGUAUGUUAGGACCCGAAAGAUGGUGAACUAUGCCUGAAUAGGGUGAAGCCAGAGGAAACUCUGGUGGAGGCUCGUAGCGAUUCUGACGUGCAAAUCGAUCGUCAAAUUUGGGUAUAGGGGCGAAAGACUAAUCGAACCAUCUAGUAGCUGGUUCCUGCC
rnacentral:rRNA from 1 species